rnacentral:lncRNA from 1 species
CUGACCCAGUGUAGAAACUGGGCAAAGGAGAGCGACUUUUUAUUGGAGCAACUAUCCUCAGCUUCAUCAUCACCCAUCCUUGAUUUCUUUUGAUGGUUCAAUUUGAAUAGCACUCUGUUGGCUAAUGCAAGUAUUUCGCCGUUUGUUUAUACCAAGUUCUAUUAACCAUCUCCAGAAGUGUCUUCUGAACUGACCGUUAGCGCCACUCCCACCGUGCUGCUCGCUACGAUAAUCGCGCCACCACUUGUCCUCCGUAGCUCUGGAGUCCUGGCCUGCCGGUUGCUAACUGGGCCACUUUACAGAGGCAGAAGCAAGCUCAGGGAGGGUAAACAGGAAGGGUAACUAAUUUUCCUGGGAUUACACAGUCGGUAAAUAAUGGAGGCAGCAUCGACCCCAGGCAGUCUGGCCCCAGACACCACACUUUUACCCAAUUCCCACAGCUGCCUGGAAAAUAAAUAGAAAUCAAAUAGAUGUUAACAAGGACCUUUGGGAGUUGUCCGGCGUUUGGGCAACGGAUUGCUUUUCUGUUUCAUGUUAGUCCACCGCCCUCACGUGGCCCCGUCCUGAACUUCACCCUUGUUUGGUCCCAAACUGUAAAGACCCUCACGGUGCUGGGAAACACAGCCCUGCUGGCCUCGGACUGCAGGACAGAAUCCUUACCCCUCCUGGGCCUCCGUUGUGUUCUUUCCAAAAUGGGAUAAUGGUAGCAGGUUAAUGGAAAUAAUUAAAUAAAAUAGUCCAUCUAAAUUCCUGGAUCGAACGAAGGGUCCAAUAAACAUUAGCUGUGCUGUUGUAGUGCUCAGUGCCUCUCUCUCAAAAGCGGGUGGCAACAGACACCCUCACACCUUCGCUGUAAUGAGAGCUCUGCAAAGCCAACUGCAAAUAUUAGGAAUCAGUGUCCUCACGAGGCCAACCCCUUUCCAAGGCUGCUUGGAAAAUGCUUUGCUAGACUAGCUUGGAUCUUGCUGGCUUGACUCAGAUCACAGUUGAGCAAAUGUGCAGAAGAGGAAGAGAUGAGGGAAGGCCUGGCUCAGUGUGCUCAGAGCUUCGAUUUUGAGACUGUUCGGGAGGAAAAGUUCCUCACCAGACAGUGCUCUGCUACUCUUAAAGCUAGAAGGACAGAAAGAUUUCUCCACAGUUGGGGUCAUGGAAAUGUGUAUUUUCUCCAAACCUUUUUUUCACUGAACCAGUUGUUGGAGCCUUCCAUUUGAGACCUUGUGAUGCCUUCAUGGACAUUAUUUCUGCUCAUCCACACAGCCAGCAGGGACUUGUGCAGCAGGAGGGGCAGGCUCAGAGUUAAGCAGCUGCUCCAACGUCACACGGCUAGCCUGGGCCUGAUCUGGAGCUUGUCCCAGAUCUGGAGCUUCCCAGGUUUGGACCUGGGUCACUAGAGCAGAGCCUCCUUGCCUCUUCGUGGAUAUGGAGCCAAUUCACUGUGGCCGAUCACCAGCCUCACAGACUAAGGGGGCAGCCCUGCCCCUGCCUACGCCCCUACCACUGCUGAAGCCAUCUCCUUGCCGACAAACACAAGCAGAAACUUCUCAGGAUCUGCUGCCUCUUGUUCCAAGGAUUAGGCGAGCUUCUGUCUUGAGGACAGAAGAGGCAGCUGGAAGAUCAGGGUUGUGGUUGAAGAAGGCCUAGGAGGACACAAGGCUGGAAGGUUGGGACACCAGAUGGCAUGGACAGUGGGUUGCCCUGCUGUGCAGCAGCCAGCUCUCAACUGCAACCGAGCACUCUACAGACUUAGCAGGCACCUGCAGACGUAACUUGUGGGAGUGGGGAGAGAGGAGGAAAGCGCUGCGCUCAACAGAAACUAGGAAGAUCGAUGAGAAAUGGCCUUGCAGCAGUUCCAAAAGGGUGGGGAGGCAGGUGAGACCACUCACGGCAGCGAUGCACAGGGCCACUUAACGCCCCUUGCUCCAUGAGGAGUUGCAGGGUGUUCCACCAAGACGCAGGUCAGGUUGCCGUCGAGCCCGGUGGAGAUGUGCAGGGUUGCUGGGCACCUGGCAGAGCUGGUCCCUGACACGCACUUUUAUCAUCAGUAAAAUGGGGAUGUUAAGAAUACCUACCGCAGAGUUAUGCAACCGUCGCCAUUAUCUAAUUCGAGAACCUCUUCAACACUCCAGAAAGAAACCCAGUGCACACGAGCUGCCACUCCCCACUCUCUCCUUGCCCAACCCCUGGCAACCACUAAUCCACUUUCUGUGUCCAUGGAUUUGCCUGUUCUGGGAAUUUCAUUUAAAUGGAAUCAUAUACUCUGUGGCGUUUUGCGACUGACUUUUUUCACUUACCAUGUUUGCAAAGUUCAUCCAAGUUGCAGCAUGCGUCAGUACAUCAUUCUUUUUUAUGGCCGCAUAAUAGUCCAUUGUGUAGAUCAUGUUUGUUUAACCUUUCAUCAGUGAAUGGACAUUUGGGUUGUUUCCUCUUUUCAGUUAUUAUGAAUGAUGCUGUUCUGAGCAUGAA